rnacentral:RNase_P_RNA from 1 species
CGUAAGCGGGAGAGGAAAGUCCGGACUCCACAGGGCAGGAAGUCCCGCUGAAAGGCGGGAUACCGUCGGCAAAACACCGGCGGUAAGGAAAGUGCCGCAGAAAGAAGACCGCCUGACCGUUGCAAGGUGGUCAGGUAAGGGUGAAAGGGUGAGGUAAGAGCUCACCGCUUCUCGGCGUAAUCCGGGAAGGCACGGCAAACCCCUUCCGGAGCAAGACCAAAUAGGGGGCUGCCGAUGCGGCCCGCAUCACUUCCGGCCCUCAACGUCGAGGGCACGGAGCAAGCCCCGGGUUUCGGUCGCUCAGAUGAAUGGCCGUGCCCGUCUUUGAUGAAAAGGCGGGAACAGAAUCCGGCUUACG